rnacentral:rRNA from 1 species
GCUAAACGCGAAGAACCUUACCUGGUCUUGACAUGUCUGGAAUCCCGAAGAGAUUUGGGAGUGCUCGCAAGAGAGCCGUAACACAGGUGCUGCAUGGCUGUCGUCAGCUCGUGUCGUGAGAUGUUGGGUUAAGUCCCGCAACGAGCGCAACCCUUGCCAUUAGUUGCUACGAAAGGGCACUCUAAUGGGACUGCCGGUGACAAACCGGAGGAAGGUGGGGAUGACGUCAAGUCCUCAUGGCCCUUAUAGGUGGGGCUACACACGUCAUACAAUGGCUGGUACAAAGGGUAGCCAACCCGCGAGGGGGAGCCAAUCCCAUAAAGCCAGUCGUAGUCCGGAUCGCAGUCUGCAACUCGACUGCGUGAAGUCGGAAUCGCUAGUAAUCGUGGAUCAGAAUGUCACGGUGAAUACGUUCCCGGGUCUUGUACACACCG